CAAACCAAACAGAGCCCAACGGCUCUUUAUUACACUGAGGCAUCACCGUCUGCCUCCAUACAUGUAGAAUGAUCUAUCCUCAUCCUCUCCCUCUACCUCUCACUCCUCAAACCCUUCUCCGUUCUCUCCUCCAUGAUCGAAACAUCUCUCACUCUCUCAGUCUGUCUCCCUCUCACUCUCUCACUCUCUAACUCUAUCUCCCUCAUCUGAAACCACUCCCCCUUCUCCUCUAUGGUUGUUGAUGUGGAUCGCCUCUAUGAUCGAAACCUCUCUCACUCUCUAAGUCUGUCUCCCUCUCAUUCACUCACUCUCCCACUCUGUCUCCAUUUUCUGAAAUCACACCCCAUUCUCCUCCAUCAUCGAAACCCCUCUCUGACCCUCUCACUCUCUCACACUCGGUCUCCUUCUCAGUCUCUCACUGUGUGAUGUGGAUCGAAACCCCCCUUUUGGUUGUUGAUGUGGAUCGGUGAUCGUGGUUGCUGAUGUGGAUCGGUGAUCGUGGUUGUUGAUGUAGAUCGGUGAUCGUAAUCGGUGAUCGAAACCCCUCCAUGAUAGAUUCACUCAGUUAGGCAAGUUUUUCUUGUUUGGACCUUCAAACAAUGUACCCUGGUGGUUAUACUGCAGAAGUAACAAACCUAUCUCCUAGAGCGACGGAGAAGGUUGUUUAUGAGUUCUUUGCUUACUGUGGUGAAGUUGAACAUGUGGAGAUCAUCAGUAGAAGCAUGUGGAUAAAGUUGAAGAUAUUACUUGGCUUAUCAAACCAAAUCUUAUGGUACCAAUAUGUAUCUCAAAUCAAACGAUUCUGGUGCGAUUCCUAUUUCCUUGUGCGCUUCUAGCUUCCAACUUAUAUUUACUAUUCUUGUAUAGGUAUUUUUAUCACCACAACGAAAUAAUUGUUGUAUUUUGUGUCAUAUAAAUUAAGUUCUGCCCUCAAAGUUGUCUUUUAUGGAGCCGUGUGUGACUUUAAUUUGAUUAUCCACUUUUCCCAUUCUGAAUUAUAAAAUCCAGUAAACAUAUUUUGUUGUUGGUAAGCAAUAUUGAUUAUCCUUGGACCCUUCCGAGGUGUUUGGGGCAUUUUCCGGUCCU